CGCGGCCUAUCAGCUUGUUGGUGAGGUAGUGGCUCACCAAGGCGACGACGGGUAGCCGGCCUGAGAGGGUGAUCGGCCACACUGGGACUGAGACACGGCCCAGACUCCUACGGGAGGCAGCAGUGGGGAAUAUUGCACAAUGGGCGAAAGCCUGAUGCAGCGACGCCGCGUGAGGGAUGAAGGCCUUCGGGUUGUAAACCUCUUUCGCCAGGGAAGAAGCGCAAGUGACGGUACCUGGAGAAGAAGCACCGGCUAACUACGUGCCAGCAGCCGCGGUAAUACGUAGGGUGCGAGCGUUGUCCGGAAUUAUUGGGCGUAAAGAGCUUGUAGGCGGUUUGUCGCGUCUGCUGUGAAAGCCCGGGGCUUAACUCCGGGUCUGCAGUGGGUACGGGCAGGCUAGAGUGUGGUAGGGGAGACUGGAAUUCCUGGUGUAGCGGUGGAAUGCGCAGAUAUCAGGAGGAACACCGAUGGCGAAGGCAGGUCUCUGGGCCAUGACUGACGCUGAGAAGCGAAAGCGUGGGGAGCGAACAGGAUUAGAUACCCUGGUAGUCCACGCCGUAAACGUUGGGCGCUAGGUGUGGGUCCCAUUCCACGGGGUCCGUGCCGCAGCUAACGCAUUAAGCGCCCCGCCUGGGGAGUACGG
rnacentral:rRNA from 1 species